rnacentral:tRNA from 1 species
GGGGCGGUAGCUCAGGUGGUUAGAGCAGCGGACUCAUAAUCCGUCGGUCGUGGGUUCGAGCCCCACCCGCCCCA